GCUCUUGGAUGCUUUUCCCUGAGGAGGGAGAAGGGCAGCCAGUCAGUGAUGGGCUGCCCUUCUCCCUCCUCAGGGAAAAGCCCCCAAGAGC